GAUGAACGCUGGCGGCGUGCCUAAUACAUGCAAGUCGAGCGAACGGACGAGAAGCUUGCUUCUCUGAUGUUAGCGGCGGACGGGUGAGUAACACGUGGAUAACCUACCUAUAAGACUGGGAUAACUUCGGGAAACCGGAGCUAAUACCGGAUAAUAUUUUGAACCGCAUGGUUCAAAAGUGAAAGACGGUCUUGCUGUCACUUAUAGAUGGAUCCGCGCUGCAUUAGCUAGUUGGUAAGGUAACGGCUUACCAAGGCAACGAUGCAUAGCCGACCUGAGAGGAGGAUGAGCCACACGGGGACUGAGACAGGGCCCAGGAGACGAAGGGAGGAAGGAGGGGGGAAUUUUGGACAAUGGGCGCAAGCCGGAUCCAGAAAUGCCGAGUGAAGGAUGAAGGCAUGAGGGUUGUAAAAUGCUUGUGUGAGGAACGAAAAGACUUCUUUUAAUACAGGAGGGUCAUGACGGUACCGUAAGAAUAAGCAAGGGCUAACUACGUG
rnacentral:rRNA from 1 species